CGGGGCGUGGCGCAGGGGUUUAGCGCGCUUGCUUGGGGUGCAAGAGGUCGUGGGUUCAAUUCCCGCCGCCCCGA
rnacentral:tRNA from 1 species